rnacentral:tRNA from 1 species
GCCUUCUUAGCUCAGUGGUAGAGCGCGUCACUAGUAAUGACGAGGUCGCUAGUUCAAUUCUGGUAGGAGGCA